GAAAGUAAAGAAGGGCGUAUGGCGGAUGCCUAGGCUCUCGGAGGCGAAGAAGGACGUGAUAAGCUGCGAUAAGCUGCGGCGAGGAGCAAAUAUCCUGUGACCCGCAGAUUUCCGAAUGGGGCAACCCGGCAGGACCACCUGUCAUCCCGGGAAACGGGAAGCAAACGUGGGGAACUGAAACAUCUCAUUACCCACAGGAAAAGAAAAUAACAAUGAUUCCGUCAGUAGUGGCGAGCGAAAGCGGAAGAGCCCAAACCGGUUCUGUUUCGGCAGAGCCGGGGUAGAAGGACUGCAUACGACAAAGGAGCAGGUAGCCGAACGGUCUGGAAAGGCCGGUCAAAGACGGUGAUAACCCGGUAGGCGAAACCAGCGACAGCGACAGCAGUAUCCUGAGUAGUGCGGGACACGAGAAAUCCUGUAUGAAUCUGCGGGGACCAUCCCGUAAGGCUAAAUACUCCCGAGAGACCGAUAGCGAACCAGUACUGUGAAGGAAAGGUGAAAAGAACCUCGAACAGAGGAGUGAAAAAGACCCUGAAACCAUACGCCUACAAGCGGUCGGAGCCCCUACGUGGGGUGACGGCGUGCCUUUUGCAUAAUGAACCUACGAGUUACUUUUGCCAGCCAGGUUAAUCGAUUCAGUCGAGGAGCCGAAGCGAAAGCGAGUCUUAAUAGGGCGGUAUAAGUUGGCAGGAGUAGACGCGAAACCAAGUGAUCUACCCAUGAGCAGGUUGAAGGUUAGGUAACACUAACUGGAGGACCGCACCGGUAAACGUUGAAAAGUUUUCGGAUGACUUGUGGGUAGGGGUGAAAGGCUAAUCAAACUUGGAGAUAGCUCGUACUCCCCGAAAUGCAUUUAGGUGCAGCCUUCUGAAUAUAUUUAAGAGGUAGAGCGACUGAUAAGAUGCGAGGGCUUCACCGCCUAUCAAGUCUUGAUAAACUCCGAAUGCUUAAAUAUGAAUCAGAGGAGUGAGGGCAUGGGUGCUAAGGUCCAUGUCCGAGAGGGAAAUAACCCAGACCACCGGCUAAGGUCCCGAAAUAACGGCUAAGUUGAAUUAACGAAGUAGAAUUGCAAAGACAGCUAGGAUGUUGGCUUGGAAGCAGCCAUUCAUUUAAAGAGUGCGUAACAGCUCACUAGUCGAGGAGUUUUGCAUGGAUAAUAAUCGGGCAUAAGCCCUUUACCGAAGCUGUGGAUGUCGUAAGACAUGGUAGGGGAGCAUUCCGGCGGCGACGAAGGCCGUCCUCGAGGACGACUGGAGCUUUCGGAAAAGCAAAUGUAGGUAUAAGUAACGAUAAAGGGGGCGCGAAACCCCCUCGCCAUAAGACUAAGGAUUCCUGAUCAACGCUAAUCGGAUCAGGGUAAGUCGGGCCCUAAGGCGCAGCCGAACGGCGCAGCCGAUGGAAGAAACGGUAAAGAUUCCGUUACUGGAUAUAGGAGCGAUGUGGAGACGGAGAAGUGACACACCCGCCUGCCGACGGAAGCGCAGGUUAAAGGAAGUAGGUAAACGCCGGGUAGGCAAAUCCGCCUGGCGUGCCGAAACUGACAGUAUCGAGAGCCCCCGGGCAAUCGAAUAGCGGUGGUAAUCAGGCUCCCAAGAAAAUCCGCUAAGCAUAUUCUAUAUCCACCCGUACCCCAAACGGACACACGUAGUCGGGUAGAAUAUACCAAGGCGCUCGAAAGACUCACGGUUAAGGAACUAGGCAAAUUGACCCUGUAACCUCGGGAAAAAGGGUCCCCAGUAAGAUGGGGCGCAGAGAAUAGGUCCAGGCAACUGUUUAACAAAAACACAGGGCUGUGCAAAAUUUCAAGAUGAAGUAUACAGCCUGACACCUGCCCGGUGCCGGAAGGUUAAGAGGAGAGCUUAUCGCAAGAGAAGGCUUGAAUUGAAGCCCCGGUAAACGGCGGCCGUAACUAUAACGGUCCUAAGGUAGCGAAAUUCCUUGUCGGGUAAGUUC
rnacentral:rRNA from 1 species